rnacentral:rRNA from 1 species
AUACGUAGGUGGCGAGCGUUGUCCGGAAUUACUGGGCGUAAAGGGUGCGCAGGCGGUUGUUUAAGUCAGAUGUGAAAUUCCGGGGCUUAACCCCGGAACUGCAUUUGAAACUGGACGGCUGGAGUGCAGGAGAGGGAAGCGGAAUUCCUAGUGUAGCGGUGAAAUGCGUAGAUAUUAGGAAGAACACCAGUGGCGAAGGCGGCUUUCUGGACUGUAACUGACGCUGAGGCACGAAAGCGUGGGGAGCGAACAGGAUUAGAUACCCUGGUAGUCCACGCUGUAAACGAUGAGUGCUAGGUGUAGGGGGUAUCGAAACCCUCUGUGCCGCAGUAAACGCAAUAAGCACUCCGCCUGGGGAGUACGGUCGCAAGACUAAA